CAGUAGCCGCGGGAAUACGAAGGGGGCUAGCGUUGUUCGGAAUUACUGGGCGUAAAGGGCGCGUAGGCGGCCGAUCAAGUCAGGCGUGAAGGCCCCGGGCUUAACCUGGGAACUGCGUUUGGGACUGGUUGGCUUGAGUUCGGGAGAGGAGAGUGGAAUUCCGAGUGUAGAGGUGAAAUUCGUAGAUAUUGGGAAGAACACCGGUGGCGAAGGCGGCUCUCUGGACCGAUACUGACGCUGAGGCGCGAAAGCGUGGGGAGCAAACAGGAUUAGAUACCCGGGUAGUCCCUGUCUCUUAUAC
rnacentral:rRNA from 1 species